rnacentral:rRNA from 1 species
GGGCAGGGGGCGCUAUCUGCAGUCGUGCGGACCUUUUAAAGCUUGCUUUUAAAAGGUUAGCGGCGGACGGGUGAGUAACACGUGGGCAACCUGCCUGUAAGAUCGGGAUAACGCCGGGAAACCGGGGCUAAUACCGGAUAGUUUUUUCCUCCGCAUGGAGGAAAAAGGAAAGACGGCUUCUGCUGUCACUUACAGAUGGGCCCGCGGCGCAUUAGCUAGUUGGUGGGGUAACGGCUCACCAAGGCAACGAUGCGUAGCCGACCUGAGAGGGUGAUCGGCCACAUUGGGACUGAGACACGGCCCAAACUCCUACGGGAGGCAGCAGUAGGGAAUCUUCCGCAAUGGACGAAAGUCUGACGGAGCAACGCCGCGUGAGUGAAGAAGGCCUUCGGGUCGUAAAACUCUGUUGCCGGGGAAGAACAAGUGCCGUUCGAACAGGGCGGCGCCUUGACGGUACCCGGCCAGAAAGCCACGGCUAACUACGUGCCAGCAGCCGCGGUAAUACGUAGGUGGCAAGCGUUGUCCGGAAUUAUUGGGCGUAAAGCGCGCGCAGGCGGCUUCUUAAGUCUGAUGUGAAAUCUUGCGGCUCAACCGCAAGCGGUCAUUGGAAACUGGGAGGCUUGAGUGCAGAAGAGGAGAGUGGAAUUCCACGUGUAGCGGUGAAAUGCGUAGAGAUGUGGAGGAACACCAGUGGCGAAGGCGGCUCUCUGGUCUGUAACUGACGCUGAGGCGCGAAAGCGUGGGGAGCAAACAGGAUUAGAUACCCUGGUAGUCCACGCCGUAAACGAUGAGUGCUAAGUGUUAGAGGGUUUCCGCCCUUUAGUGCUGCAGCUAACGCAUUAAGCACUCCGCCUGGGGAGUACGGCCGCAAGGCUGAAACUCAAAGGAAUUGACGGGGGGCCCGCACAAGCGGUGGAGCAUGUGGUUUAAUUCGAAGCAACGCGAAGAAACCUUACCAGGUCUUGACAUCCUCUGACCUCCCCUGGAGACAGGGCCUUUCCCCUUCGGGGGACAGAGUGACAGGUGGUGCAUGGUUGUCGUCAGCUCGUGUCGUGAGAUGUUGGGGUUUAAGUCCCGCAACGAGCGCACCCUUGACCCUUAGUUGUCAGCAUUCAGGUUGGGGCACCUCUCGUUGACUGGCCGGUGAACGAACGGCAGGAAGGUGGGAUGAACGAUCGAAUUCAUUCAAUGCCCCCCGUUAUUGAACCCUGGGGGG